UGUGUCGGUGGCGGCGCCAUUAAAAAAAAGCGAGCGAGAGGAGGAGGGCUCCGGGCGCUGGUGCCGCGAGCGGGGCCCGGGCCUCGGCGGGAACGCGGCUAGCGGGGCCGGGGGCGGCGGGCGGUCGCCGGCCGGCCGGCGCGGGGCAGCCGCAGCGGCGCCAUGUCGGAGCAGCAGUUCGCCAUGGACUCGGCGGCGGGCGCCGGAGGCAGCUCGGCGGAGUCGGCGGAGCAGCCCGAGGGGCUGACGGGGGCUGGGGCGGGGGGCGCCGGCGGGGGAGGCGGCAGCGUCGAGUCGGAGGGAUCCAAGAUCGACGCCAGCAAGAACGAGGAAGACGAGGGUUGUGUGGAGGCCCCGCAGAUGACUACAUGGAAUCAAGCCUGUGGAGGGAAAAUGUUUAUUGGAGGCCUUAGCUGGGACACCACCAAGAAAGACCUGAAGGACUAUUUCUCUAAGUUUGGUGAAGUGGUAGACUGCACUCUGAAGUUAGAUCCCAUCACAGGGCGGUCGAGAGGCUUCGGCUUUGUGCUCUUCAAGGAGUCAGAGAGCGUGGAUAAGGUCAUGGACCAGAAAGAGCACAAGCUGAAUGGAAAGGUCAUUGAUCCCAAAAGAGCUAAAGCCAUGAAAACAAAAGAACCUGUGAAGAAGAUUUUUGUUGGAGGCUUAUCUCCAGACACACCCGAGGAGAAAAUAAGGGAAUACUUUGGAGGUUUUGGUGAGGUUGAAUCGAUAGAGCUGCCCAUGGACAACAAAACCAACAAGAGGCGUGGAUUUUGCUUCAUUACUUUCAAGGAGGAGGAACCAGUGAAGAAAAUAAUGGAAAAGAAAUACCACAACGUUGGGCUUAGUAAAUGUGAAAUAAAAGUAGCCAUGUCAAAGGAGCAGUACCAGCAGCAGCAGCAGUGGGGGAGCCGGGGAGGAUUUGCCGGAAGAGCUCGAGGCAGAGGUGGAGGCCCCAGUCAAAAUUGGAACCAGGGCUACAGCAACUACUGGAAUCAAGGGUAUGGGAACUAUGGCUACAACAGCCAAGGGUACGGAGGUUACGGAGGAUAUGACUACACUGGUUACAACAACUACUAUGGCUAUGGUGACUAUAGCAAUCAGCAGAGUGGUUACGGGAAAGUAUCUCGGCGAGGCGGCCAUCAAAACAGCUACAAACCAUACUAAAUUAUUCCAUUCGCAACUUACCCCCAAACAGCGGGAGCUUCCUUGCAGGCCCCUGUGUCGCGCUGACUUCACGAUUCUCACAGGCCCGCUCAAUGCGGACAGGGUACGAGAUGCUCACGCUCUCGAAUGCUGCCGUUUGGGUGGAGAGGCACAGUAUUUGCUCAGUUGGAAGAUUUCAUUUGGAGGUGGCACAUGCUGCCUGCUAAAAUAGCAGUUCAAUCUAAUUUGUGGGGUUGUUUGGGUUUUUUCUUUUGUAUCCAGGCCACGAAUUGGAAGUUUAAAAAAAAAAAAAAAAAAAGACAUUGGGUCCCUUUUGAAGUUCAGAAUUGAGUUUUUUCCUAAAGACAAAAAUUUGCUUUCACAGUCUCAUUUCUUAAUGGCUAUGCUUAAAAGAAUCAGAUCUGUUUUACGCCCCCUUCCUGAGUAUCGUAGCGCAAGUCUUGUGUUCCGAAGCCCGGUGUGACGGUGUCAUGAUGUAGUAGUGUCUGACUGGUUUUUUAAUAAAUCUUUUUUCUAUAAA